rnacentral:rRNA from 1 species
AGAGUUUGAUCCUGGCUCCGAAUGAACGCUGGCGGCGUGCCUAAGACAUGCAAGUCGCACGAGAAAGCUCUCUUCCGAGAGUUAGUAGAGUGGCGCACGGGUGAGUAACACUUAAGUAACGUACCCUUUCGCUGGGGAUAACCAAGGGAAACUUUGGCUAAUACCGAAUGACCCGCGAGAGACUAUGGUCUCUUUCGGGAAAGCCGUAAGGCGCGAAAGGAGCGGCUUGAGUCCCAUUAGUUUGAUGGUAGGGUAACGGCCUACCAUGGCGACGAUGGGUAGCUGGUCUGAGAGGAUGAUCAGUCACACUGGCACUGGAACACGGGCCAGACUCCUACGGGAGGCAGCAGUUAGGAAUUUUGCGCAAUGGGGGAAACCCUGACGCAGCAACGCCGCGUGGGUGAGGAAGGCUUUCGGGUUGUAAAGCCCUUUCAGCAGGGAAGAAAAAAAUGACGGUACCUGCAGAAGAAGCACCGGCUAACUCCGUGCCAGCAGCCGCGGUAAUACGGAGGGUGCAAGCGUUAUUCGGAAUUAUUGGGCGUAAAGCGCACGUAGGCGGUUUGGUAAGUCUGAUGUGAAAGCCCACGACUUAAUCGUGGAAGUGCAUUGGAUACUGCCAGACUUGAGUACAGGAGGGGAGAACGGAAUUCCUGGUGGAGAGGUGAAAUUCGUAGAUAUCAGGAGGAACAACUGUGGCGA